rnacentral:tRNA from 1 species
GGGGGCAUGGCUCAGUGGAAGAGUACAUGCUUGGCACGCAGAAGGUCCCGGGUUCAAUCCCUGGCAUCUCCA